AACGAACGCUGGCGGCAUGCCUAACACAUGCAAGUCGAACGAUUGCCUUCGGGUGAUAGUGGCGCACGGGUGCGUAACGCGUGGGAAUCUGCCCUUAGGUUCGGGCUAACAGCUGGAAACGGCCGCUAAUACCGGAUGAUAUCGCGAGCUCAAAGACUUAUCGCCGGAGGAUGAGCCCGCGCUGGAUUAGGUAGUUGGUGGGGUAAAGGCCUACCAAGCCGACGAUCCAUAGCUGGUCUGAGAGGAUGAUCAGCCACACUGGGGCUGAGACACGGCCCAGACUCCUACGAGAGGCAGCAGUGGGAAAUAGUGGACAAUGGGCGCAAGCCUGAUCCAGCAAUGCCGCGUGAGUGAUGAAGGCCCUAGAGUUGUAAAGCUCUUACCCGGGAAGAUAAUGACUGUACCGGGAGAAUAAGCCCCGGCUAACUCCGUGCCAGCAGCCGCGGUAA
rnacentral:rRNA from 1 species